CCUACGGGAGGCAGCAGUAGGGAAUCUUCCGCAAUGGACGAAAGUCUGACGGAGCAACGCCGCGUGAACGAUGAAGGCCUUCGGGUCGUAAAGUUCUGUUGUUAGGGAAGAACAAGUGCUAGUUGAAUAAGCUGGCACCUUGACGGUACCUAACCAGAAAGCCACGGCUAACUACGUGCCAGCAGCCGCGGUAAUACGUAGGUGGCAAGCGUUGUCCGGAAUUAUUGGGCGUAAAGCGCGCGCAGGCGGUUUCUUAAGUCUGAUGUGAAAGCCCCCGGCUCAACCGGGGAGGGUCAUUGGAAACUGGGAAACUUGAGUGCAGAAGAGGAAAGUGGAAUUCCAAGUGUAGCGGUGAAAUGCGUAGAGAUUUGGAGGAACACCAGUGGCGAAGGCGACUUUCUGGUCUGUAACUGACGCUGAGGCGCGAAAGCGUGGGGAGCAAACAGGAUUAGACUACCCUGGUAGUCCACGCUGUAAACGAUGAGUGAUAGUAGUAGUAGGUUCCGUCC
rnacentral:rRNA from 1 species